ensembl:lncRNA
CUUUCAUCUAUUUGUAUAUUGAUUUAUGUUAAUUUUAAUGUUUAUUAAAAAAAAAGAAUCUGUGAAAGUGAGUUUGUUUGUUUAAUAGCUUGCCUUUUCUUUUGUCUCGUAAAUACUUUCACUUGAAAAUGUGAAGGUAUAAAUACUGUACUGUAAGAUAUUUACAUGACAAACAUUCUGAUUAAUAUGCCACAUGCUAGCUGUCUAAAAGAUAGCACUGACUUAAUCGGGUUAUGGCAAUUUGGUAAGCAUGUUUAAGUAUGACAAGAUUUAGUUUAUAAUGGGAAUAUCUCACACUAUUGCCCUUAUACUCUCACCUUUAAGGAUACCACGCACACACACACACACACACACACACACACACACACACACACACACACACACACACACACACACACACACACACACACACACACACACACACACACACACACACACAGAUUAGGUUUCCAUGUUUUAUGGGGACAUUCCAUUGACAUAUUUUCUAUACCCUUACCCUAACCCUAAACCUACCCCUCACACAAAACUUUCUGUAUUUUUACAUUUUCAAAAAGUUCUUUAUGAUUUAUAAGCUGUUUUCCUCAUGGGGACCCCACAAGGUCAAGGUCCCCACAAGGUCAAAAUUUACUGGUAUUACUAUACUUGUGCGGACAUAUGAUCACCAUAACAUAGGGAAUACUAGGACCACACACACACACACACACACAUUUCCAGAACAUUACACCACCCUGCUCAGCAGUAGCAUCCACAUACUCACAAAGUGUGCUCACGCAUCUUCAGUUAUUGUGCGAGGUUACCAAGCUGUGCUGCUUUCACAUUCAUGAAAAUCCUGGCCAUUAAUUCCCUGGGAUGGAGGCGAGGCUGGACCACUGAUGAAAUAUAUGCCAGAUAUGGAAUUCCUCACUCUGUGGUCUGGAGGGAGGGAAUGCUGUGGAAGAGACCCAUCUGGAGUGGGAACAAGGUGGGUAAUGGUAGAAAUGAGGCCCCCCUCUCCGCCUGUCUCUCUGGAGAAGCCUUGGGCUUGUCUGGAAACGCAUCAAUCGGGACAGACACAGCGGGACGAUCCAGAGCCUGUCACAGGAUAGCCCAGGGAGAGGAGUUAAAACUACAAUUGGUUCUGCAGUUUAAUGAAAGAAGCUACAAGACAUUGGAGACUGGACGAGUGCUGCAACAGACAGGCUUAGUGAAUGCAGCUGAAGGAUUAUGGCAGAUUUUGGGUGAUGAUGGAGACAAGUGGUUUUGAGACCGUGAGUAAUCACACGCAAAGUCCAACUUGACCACUUUUACAAGCUUAUUCAGGCUUAUUAUCACAUGGGAAGAGCCAAAGACCAACAUUAAACCCCUUUCGAGUGUCAGGGCUUCAACGCAGUCCUCAACACUAGUGUCACGUGCCAUUUUGACAUCCAUAUUAAAGCUUCUGCAAAUUGCAUUACAUAAAACGAUGUUAUGAGAUUGGUAGGUAAACAGAAUGUGCUGCACUUAAUGUAUGAAUCUUAAUGCAUUAGAUAAAAUAUCAAACCAAAGUCAGCAUUUAUUUAAAAGUGAAGUAUGCAGUGAAAACAUUUCACAAAACUUAAGUGUGUUAGUAAAGACUAGC